rnacentral:rRNA from 1 species
CCUACGUGAGGCAGCAGUGGGGAAUAUUGCACAAUGGGGGAAACCCUGAUGCAGCGACGCCGCGUGAGUGAAGAAGUAAUUCGUUAUGUAAAGCUCUAUCAGCAGGGAAGAAAAUGACGGUACCUGAGUAAGAAGCCCCGGCUAACUACGUGCCAGCAGCCGCGGUAAUACGUAGGGGGCAAGCGUUAUCCGGAUUUACUGGGUGUAAAGGGAGCGUAGACGGCAGUGCAAGUCUGGAGUGAAAGGCGGGGGCUUAACCCCCGGACUGCUCUGGAAACUGUACGGCUGGAGUGCAGGAGAGGUAAGUGGAAUUCCUAGUGUAGCGGUGAAAUGCGUAGAUAUUAGGAGGAACACCAGUGGCGAAGGCGGCUUACUGGACUGUAACUGACGUUGAGGCUCGAAAGCGUGGGGAGCAAACAGGAUUAGAUACCCGGGUAGUC